UAGCGUUGAGCAAACAAGAUGUCCACAGGAUGUAAAAACUUACAUAGUAUUUCAUACAUUUAGCUAAUCUAAAUUAAAUACAUGCUAAUUAAGUAAUCCGUACUUUAAAAAAUUCUUUUUUAUUUGCUCUUUUUCCCUCUGUCCUCAGCAGUCUCACACUGCUGGGUUUUGUUAUUUUAGUUUGGGUUUGGUAGUCUUAGUUUGCAGCUUUGUUUAUUUGUUUUCUUUAGGUAGGAGCUGCUGACUCAGGCGGUCGACUCAUCUAAUGUUUGUCCGAGGAGCCGCUAUGGAGAGCUGAGAGAGCCACAUGUGGGUCUGGAGCUGCAGGUUGCAGACGGAAAAGCAAACAACAUCCUCAUGCUGGACAUUCCCGGUUGGAUCUCGGAUGAUCCUCGCUAACGCGUGAGAGCGGCGUUUGCUCCUGUGGGGUCACUUGGUCAGAAGGUCAAACCACAGCAGUAACAUUAAAAGUCAAGGAAACAUCAACAAGCUGUAAACAGUGUUGUCCGACCCUCUCCGUUCCAGGAUUCACUUCCAAUUUUGAGGCUCCAUUCCCCCAUUUUUGCUGCACUCUCCAAGUUCUGUAAUCCAACACUCUGAAGGUGUUGAAGCCGAACCCCUCACCAUGACAACCACGAUGGCAGUGGCUAAAACAACAACAAACCGGAUAAUAAAAGUAAAAAUAUUUAAAGGUGGACCUGGAGUUGUACCUCGGGUUGGACCCUCCUGCUCCGUCUCCAGCAGCACCCCCGGAGGAGGCUAAACCCACAGCAGGUUGAAGAGGUCCCGUCUUCCCACAUAGCACGUCUGCCCCAUGCUGUCACAUCCACAGCACUUCCACCUCGAGACACUUCCUCCAGGAAGAAAAGGCUUCCAGAACGGAACAGAUAGAUGAUGCUGUUGCUCUCAUCAAAUCAUACAAGUGGUGCUCAGGUGGGACUCAUCUGUGGACCCAUCCUGAGCUGGAGACAGAGCAGCGGGGGCCUGGCUCUUGGUUUCCUGUCAAAGAUGCUUCUGGAGGGACAGGUGCUGUAGAUAAACAUCCCGCCGCGCUCCCAGGUGGGCUCUUCACAGGACCGAGGAAGCCAGACGAGCAGGAGGCGCAGCACUAAUGGGCCUCCCAUGUGGCUCCACAGACUUUCCUCCGGCUUCACACUUGCCACUGUAUCCUGGAGACAUCGCCAGGGGAUGUGGAACCCCCACCUCCCCUCCCAUCUCUCGUGCUUUACACAGCCACAGCCGGCUGAGGGAAGCUUCAGUCUUGCUGACGAUUGGCUGCCCCCCCUCCCCGACU